rnacentral:rRNA from 1 species
UACGUAGGGCGCAAGCGUUAUCCGGAAUUAUUGGGCGUAAAGAGCUCGUAGGCGGUUUGUCGCGUCUGCCGUGAAAGUCCGGGGCUCAACUCCGGAUCUGCGGUGGGUACGGGCAGACUAGAGUGAUGUAGGGGAGACUGGAAUUCCUGGUGUAGCGGUGAAAUGCGCAGAUAUCAGGAGGAACACCGAUGGCGAAAGGCAGGUCUCUGGGCAUUAACUGACGCUGAGGAGCGAAAGCAUGGGGAGCGAACAGG